rnacentral:rRNA from 1 species
GACGCACGCUGGCGGCGUGCUUAACACAUGCAAGUCGAACGAAGUGGCGAACGGGUGAGUAACGCGUAAUCAACCUGCCCUUCAGAGGGGGAUCACAGUUGGACACGACUGCUAAUACCGCAUACUGAGGGGGGGUAUUGCGUCUGAUUAGCUAUUUGAAGGGGUAACGGCCCACCAAGGCGAUGAUCGGUAGCCUGUCUGAGAGGAUGAACGGCCACAUUGGUACUGAGAUACGGCCCAGCAUCCUACGGGAGGCAGUAGGGGGGAAUCUUCCGCAAUGGACGAAAGUCUGACGGAGCAACGCCGCGUUAGUGAUGACGGCCUUCGGGUUGUAAAGCUCUGUUAAUCGGGACGCGGUACCGGAAUAGAAAGCCACGGCUAACUACGUGCCAGCAGCCGCGGUAAUUC